rnacentral:rRNA from 1 species
GAGUUUGAUCAUGGCUCAGGAUGAACGCUAGCGGCAGGCUUAACACAUGCAAGUCGAGGGGUAACAGGGAGUGCUUGCACUCUGCUGACGACCGGCGCACGGGUGCGUAACGCGUAUGCAACCUACCUUCUACAGGGGGAUAGUCCAGAGAAAUUUGGCAUAAUACCCCAUACGAUCAUUUAUUGGCAUCGAUAGAUGAGGAAAACUCCGGUGGUAGAAGAUGGGCAUGCGUCCUAUUAGUUAGUUGGUAAGGUAACGGCUUACCAAGACAUCGAUAGGUAGGGGUCCUGAGAGGGAGAUCCCCCACACUGGUACUGAGACACGGACCAGACUCCUACGGGAGGCAGCAGUGAGGAAUAUUGGACAAUGGAGGCAACUCUGAUCCAGCCAUGCCGCGUGCAGGAAGACGGCCCUACGGGUUGUAAACUGCUUUUAUACAGGAAGAAACGCCGCUACGUGUAGCGGUUUGACGGUACUGUACGAAUAAGGAUCGGCUAACUCCGUGCCAGCAGCCGCGGUAAUACGGAGGAUCCAAGCGUUAUCCGGAAUCAUUGGGUUUAAAGGGUCCGUAGGCGGUUUUUUAAGUCAGAGGUGAAAUCCUGCAGCUCAACUGUAGCAUUGCCUUUGAUACUGAAAGACUUGAGUUAUUGUGAAGUAGUUAGAAUGUGUAGUGUAGCGGUGAAAUGCAUAGAUAUUACACAGAAUACCGAUUGCGAAGGCAGAUUACUAACAAUAUACUGACGCUGAGGGACGAAAGCGUGGGUAGCGAACAGGAUUAGAUACCCUGGUAGUCCACGCCGUAACCGAUGGAUACUAGCUGUUCGACCAACAUUGG